CCUACGGGAGGCAGCAGUGGGGAAUAUUGCACAAUGGGGGAAACCCUGAUGCAGCAACGCCGCGUGAGCGAAGAAGGCCUUCGGGUCGUAAAGCUCUGUCCUAAGGGAAGAAGGAUGACGGUACCUUAGGAGGAAGCCCCGGCUAACUACGUGCCAGCAGCCGCGGUAAUAAGUAGGGGGCGGGCGCUAUCCGGAAUCACUGGGCGUAAAGGGUGCGUAGGGGGCCGAUAAAGUUUGGGGGUAAAGGCUACGGCGCAACCGUAGUAAGCCUUGGAAACUUAUUGGCUUGAGUGCAGGAGAGUAGGGCGGAAUUACUGGUGUUGCGGUGAAAUGCGUAGAUAUCAGAAGGAGAAGCAGUGGCGAAGGCGGCUCUCUGGACUGUAACUGACGCGGAGGCACGAAAGCGUGGGGAGCGAACAGGUUUAGAUACCCGUGUAGUC
rnacentral:rRNA from 1 species